rnacentral:lncRNA from 1 species
UGAAUGUCAAAUAAGAUUAAGUUUAGUCUGAACUGGUAAUCAAGAGUUUUUUUAGAUUGUGCUUCAUCUUUCAUGUGGAUAAAAAUGCUCGGUUUCUCAGAUCCCUCUCCUUCCCCUGCUUCUCUCCUUAUGUUCAAGUGGAACAUACUGAUGCUCUGAAAGAUGACUCCAGGAGAGUUUGAGGAGGCAAACACCGUCUACACAGUACUACAAGGCUUUGUCCCAAGAACCUACAUAGCUAUGAUGGACAAGGUUAAGUAAUAAACCACACAGAGGCUGAAAGCUGCUGGACAAGUGCUCUGGUCACCUGUCCUUAGGCAAGAAUUCUGGAAGGUAUUUUGUGUAUAUUCAUUAGUUCUAGCUAAUCUAGAACCUCAUACAUGUUCAUUAUAACAACCUUGAUAAUGUUUUGUUUUAAAUCACCAUUCAUGUGGUUUGACAUACAUAGAAAUAUUCACUGAUUUUAUGUAUAUGUUUAGAUGAUUUGUGACAUAUAUGUCAUCAGAUAAAUAUUAUCAGAAUCAAAGAUGUUGGAAAUUACCAUUGCCCCUCAAUCUCUCCAUGCCCUUUUAGUCAAUCUCCUACUCCCAUAUAUUGCAAUAAUUGAUGACCUGUCUUCACUAUAGUUUUACUUUUUCUAGAAUUUUGUAUUAGUGGAAUUAUACAAUGCAGUGUCUCUUGUGUCAAGCUUCUUUCACAAAAAGACAUUGAUAUUGUACAUAUCAAUGUUUCCUUCCUUUUCAUUGCUAAGCAGUGUUACAUUGUAUGGAUGCGUCAUUCUUUGCUUAUUCAUAUGUGAAUGCAUAAACUAGUUGUGGUAUGCCCAU